rnacentral:rRNA from 1 species
UGGCGGACGGGUGAGUAACGCGUGAGAAUCUGCCUUUAGAUCGGGGACAACCAUUGGAAACGAUGGCUAAUACCGGAUAAGCCGAGAGGUGAAAGAUUAAUUGUCUAGAGAAGAGCUCGCGUCUGAUUAGCUAGUUGGUGGGGUAAAGGCCUACCAAGGCGACGAUCAGUAGCUGGUCUGAGAGGAUGAUCAGCCACACUGGGACUGAGACACGGCCCAGAUCCUACGGGAGGCAGCAGC